rnacentral:rRNA from 1 species
AUUGAACGCUGGCGGAAUGCUUUACACAUGCAAGUCGAACGGCAGCACGGGGGCAGCCCUGGUGGCGAGUGGCGAACGGGUGAGUAAUACAUCGGAACGUGCCCGGUCGUGGGGGAUAACGUAGCGACAGUUACGCUAAUACCGCAUACGAUCUGAGGAUGAAAGCGGGGGACCUUCGGGCCUCGCGCGAUCGGAGCGGCCGAUGUCAGAUUAGGUAGUUGGUGGGGUAAAGGCCUACCAAGCCGACGAUCUGUAGCUGGUCUGAGAGGACGACCAGCCACACUGGGACUGAGACACGGCCCAGACUCCUACGGGAGGCAGCAGUGGGGAAUUUUGGACAAUGGGCGCAAGCCUGAUCCAGCCAUGCCGCGUGCAGGACGAAGGCCUUCGGGUUGUAAACUGCUGUUGUACGGAACGAAAAGGCUCUGGCUAAUACCUGGGGCUCAUGACGGUACCGUAAGAAUAAGCACCGGCUAACUACGUG